rfam:Lupinus angustifolius cultivar Tanjil chromosome LG01, whole genome shotgun sequence.
AGGUCGAUGCCCGAGCGGUUAAUGGGGAAUAAUUCGUUGGCAAUAUGUCUACGCUGGUUCAAAUCCAGCUCGGCCCA